GUAACUGGAGUUACGCUCUAUAACCCUUUGUGAACAUACCUAUAACUGUUGCUUCGGCGGGUAGGGUCUCCGUGACCCUCCCGGCCUCCCGCCCCCGGGCGGGUCGGCGCCCGCCGGAGGAUAACCAAACUCUGAUUUAACGACGUUUCUUCUGAGUGGUACAAGCAAAUAAUCAAAACUUUUAACAACGGAUCUCUUGGUUCUGGCAUCGAUGAAGAACGCAGCGAAAUGCGAUAAGUAAUGUGAAUUGCAGAAUUCAGUGAAUCAUCGAAUCUUUGAACGCACAUUGCGCCCGCCAGCAUUCUGGCGGGCAUGCCUGUUCGAGCGUCAUUUCAACCCUCAAGCUCUGCUUGGUGUUGGGGCCCUACAGCUGAUGUAGGCCCUCAAAGGUAGUGGCGGACCCUCCCGGAGCCUCCUUUGCGUAGUAACUUUACGUCUCGCACUGGGAUCCGGAGGGACUCUUGCCGUAAAACCCCCAAUUUUCCAAAGGUUGACCUCGGAUCAGGUAGGAAUACCCGCUGAACUUAAGCAUAUCAAAAAGGGGGGA
rnacentral:rRNA from 1 species